rnacentral:sRNA from 1 species
GGGCGGGUGAGGCGCUCCGCCUGCUGCGCGUCUACGCGGUCCCCGCGGGCCUCCCGGGCCCACUGCGCCGCGCGGACCACCUCGGGCUCGGACGGCCGGUGUCCCUGGCGCGCCGCUCGCCCGGAUCGGCCGCGGCUUCGGCGCCUGGGGCUCCGGGCUCCGGGGAGGCCGCCGCCCGCGAUGCUGCUCUCCAAGUUCGGCUCCCUGGCGCACCUCUGCGGGCCCGGCGGCGUGGACCACCUCCCGGUGAAGAUCCUGCAGCCAGGUACGCGCGGGGCCGGCGGGGCCGGGGCCGGGGCCGGGGCCAGGGCGGGGACCAGGGGCGCCCCGGGCAGCACCAACCCCGCCCGCGCCUCCCUGCAGCCAAGGCGGACAAGGAGAGCUUCGAGAAGGCGUACCAGGUGGGCGCCGUGCUGGGUAGUGGCGGCUUCGGCACGGUCUACGCGGGUAGCCGCAUCGCCGACGGGCUCCCGGUGGCCGUGAAGCACGUGGUGAAGGAGCGGGUGACCGAGUGGGGCAGCCUGGUAAGUUGGGGCACGGGCGGCGGCGGCGGGCGGGCGGGCGCGGGGCUUUUGCUGACCGCCGUGUCCCCCAGGGCGGCGCGACCGUGCCCCUGGAGGUGGUGCUGCUGCGCAAGGUGGGCGCGGCGGGCGGCGCGCGCGGCGUCAUCCGCCUGCUGGACUGGUUCGAGCGGCCCGACGGCUUCCUGCUGGUGCUGGAGCGGCCCGAGCCGGCGCAGGACCUCUUCGACUUCAUCACGGAGCGCGGCGCCCUGGACGAGCCGCUGGCGCGCCGCUUCU